GGUAGUAGUCAAGCGAAGGGGUGACGCAGGAAGGUAGCCGUACCAGUCAGUGGUAACACUGGGGCAAGCCGGUAGGGAGAGCGAUAGGCAAAUCCGUCGCUCACUAAUCCUGAGAGGUGACGCAUAGCCGGUUGAGGCGAAUUCGGUGAUCCUCUGCUGCCAAGAAAAGCCUCUAGCGAGCACACACACGGCCCGUACCCCAAACCGACACAGGUGGUCAGGUAGAGCAUACCAAGGCGUACGAGAUAACUAUGGUUAAGGAACUCGGCAAAAUGCCCCCGUAACUUCGGGAGAAGGGGGACCGGAAUAUCGUGAACACCCUUGCGGUGGGAGCGGGAUCCGGUCGCAGAAACCAGUGAGGAGCGACUGUUUACUAAAAACACAGGUCCGUGCGAAGUCGCAAGACGAUGUAUACGGACUGACGCCUGCCCGGUGCUGGAAGGUUAAGAGGACCCGUUAACCCGCAAGGGUGAAGCGGAGAAUUUAAGCCCCAGUAAACGGCGGUGGUAACUAUAACCAUCCUAAGGUAGCGAAAUUCCUUGUCGGGUAAGUUCCGACCUGCACGAAUGGCGUAACGACUUCUCAACUGUCUCAACCAUAGACUCGGCGAAAUUGCACUACGAGUAAAGAUGCUCGUUACGCGCGGCAGGACGAAAAGACCCCGGGACCUUCACUACAACUUGGUAUUGAUGUUCGGUACGGUUUGUGUAGGAUAGGUGGGAGACUGUGAAACCUCGACGCCAGUUGGGGCGGAGUCGUUGUUGAAAUACCACUCUGAUCGUAUUGGGCAUCUAACCUCGAACCCUGAAUCGGGUUUAGGGACAGUGCCUGGCGGGUAGUUUAACUGGGGCGGUUGCCUCCUAAAAUGUAACGGAGGCGCCCAAAGGUUCCCUCAACCUGGACGGCAAUCAGGUGGCGAGUGUAAAUGCACAAGGGAGCUUGACUGCGAGACUUACAAGUCAAGCAGGGACGAAAGUCGGGAUUAGUGAUCCGGCACCCCCGAGUGGAAGGGGUGUCGCUCAACGGAUAAAAGGUACCCCGGGGAUAACAGGCUGAUCUUCCCCAAGAGUCCAUAUCGACGGGAUGGUUUGGCACCUCGAUGUCGGCUCGUCGCAUCCUGGGGCUGGAGCAGGUCCCAAGGGUUGGGCUGUUCGCCCAUUAAAGCGGCACGCGAGCUGGGUUUAGAACGUCGUGAGACAGUUCGGUCUCUAUCCGCCGCGCGCGUCAGAAACUUGAGGAAACCUGUCCCUAGUACGAGAGGACCGGGACGGACGAACCUCUGGUGCACCAGUUGUCCCGCCAGGGGCACCGCUGGAUAGCCACGUUCGGUCAGGAUAACCGCUGAAAGCAUCUAAGCGGGAAACCUUCUCCAAGAUCAGGUUUCUCACCCACUUGGUGGGAUAAGGCCCCC
rnacentral:rRNA from 1 species